ACAAUGAAGAGUUUGAUCCUGGCUCAGGAUGAACGCUAGCUACAGGCUUAACACAUGCAAGUCGAGGGGCAUCAGGAAGAAAGCUUGCUUUCUUUGCUGGCGACCGGCGCACGGGUGAGUAACACGUAUCCAACCUGCCCUUUACUCGGGGAUAGCCUUUCGAAAGAAAGAUUAAUACCCGAUAGCAUAAUGAUUCCGCAUGGUUUCAUUAUUAAAGGAUUCCGGUAAAGGAUGGGGAUGCGUUCCAUUAGGUUGUUGGUGAGGUAACGGCUCACCAAGCCUUCGAUGGAUAGGGGUUCUGAGAGGAAGGUCCCCCACAUUGGAACUGAGACACGGUCCAAACUCCUACGGGAGGCAGCAGUGAGGAAUAUUGGUCAAUGGGCGCUAGCCUGAACCAGCCAAGUAGCGUGAAGGAUGAAGGCUCUAUGGGUCGUAAACUUCUUUUAUAUAAGAAUAAAGUGCAGUAUGUAUACUGUUUUGUAUGUAUUAUAUGAAUAAGGAUCGGCUAACUCCGUGCCAGCAGCCGCGGUAAUACGGAGGAUCCGAGCGUUAUCCGGAUUUAUUGGGUUUAAAGGGAGCGUAGGUGGACUGGUAAGUCAGUUGUGAAAGUUUGCGGCUCAACCGUAAAAUUGCAGUUGAUACUGUCAGUCUUGAGUACAGUAGAGGUGGGCGGAAUUCGUGGUGUAGCGGUGAAAUGCUUAGAUAUCACGAAGAACUCCGAUUGCGAAGGCAGCUCACUGGACUGCAACUGACACUGAUGCUCGAAAGUGUGGGUAUCAAACAGGAUUAGAUACCCUGGUAGUCCACACAGUAAACGAUGAAUACUCGCUGUUUGCGAUAUACAGUAAGCGGCCAAGCGAAAGCAUUAAGUAUUCCACCUGGGGAGUACGCCGGCAACGGUGAAACUCAAAGGAAUUGACGGGGGCCCGCACAAGCGGAGGAACAUGUGGUUUAAUUCGAUGAUACGCGAGGAACCUUACCCGGGCUUAAAUUGCAGUGGAAUGAUGUGGAAACAUGUCAGUGAGCAAUCACCGCUGUGAAGGUGCUGCAUGGUUGUCGUCAGCUCGUGCCGUGAGGUGUCGGCUUAAGUGCCAUAACGAGCGCAACCCUUAUCUU
rnacentral:rRNA from 1 species